GAGUGGGAGUAAACGUGAAGGAGAAAGGGGGAACGAGAAGGGAGCGAGAGGGGAGAAAAAGUGCCUUGUGUCAGACACCUUGCCGUUCUGACUGCGCAGCAUCUCGCUUGUUUCUCGUACGCCUUCGUCGAAGCUCCCUACGCAGCGUCGCUCAUCUCGUUUUCUCGUAUACGAGCGUGACGUCAUGCUGCAAGUUGCACGGGAGUAACCGAGCGAGGAAAGGGGAUAAGAGGGGAGCAGUUACGUGGGGAUAUAGAACGAGCGAACGUGCGCGCGCGCAUCAGAAAGCCGCAGCGUCGAUGGAUUUGCUGUUACCUGCAUGGAGUGGACUGCAUGCAGAAUACACGCGAGGUGACAUCGUCCUAUUGCAAAGACGAUGGCGGCGGGGCAAUGCCACGAAUCGUGGCCCGACGGAGACGAUGGUCUAUGCGCAUAUUGUACCGGACGGUUAAUGGCAUGAUGGCGUGACAUCGGUGCACAUUGCACACGCACACUGCGAGUAAGGCGAACAGAACGGAACGGGAUGGAACAGAACCGAGUGGAACAGAACGGAAUGGAACGAAACGAAACGAAAGACCGGAACGCGAUGUCGCGUGUCCUAUGUUGUAUUCGCGUGUGUCGCAAAUAUUACACGCGAUCCUUCAACUAAAUGCUUUAGUGCACGAAUGUAUUCGUACAUCGUUUUGCUUCUUCGUUUUCUUUCUAAAGUUUAACUCUUUAACUCUCACAAUCGCUGUGAUUAUUACUUUAUGCUAUAUUAUACGCGAGAUUAGACGAGUUUAUUAAAGGCUAUAAAAAGGCUAUAAAUCUCGGAAAAAAAAUGUAUAACGAUUAUUUUUUUGAUGUAUUGCAUUUUAUCUUAUAUAUAUUGAUUAAUGUAAGUAUUUAUGUACGAAGGAAAAGCCAUGGUCAGUAUGAAAAAUGAAUAUUUUUAACUUCCAUAUAAUACAUAUUGUGCAGAUAUAAUCUAAAAAAUAAAACAUAUUUAACAGCUACUGAAUGAAAUGGAUGUAUGCGUAUUCUUUUAUCAGAAACUCAUGAAAAAAUAUUUUACAAUGAGACGAUCAUACUUUUUGCAAAAAGAAAUAAACUAG
rnacentral:lncRNA from 1 species